ACAGGCGGGCGGGGCUACCCAUCGGAACGGACGCCCCAGUCUGAAGCAGGACUCCCCGGGCUGGGCGGGGCUCCCGCCUCUUGGGCGGGAGUUAGCGCAUCUGGGCGGGGCUACUCGUUAGAACAAACUCCCCGGUCCGAAGCGAGGCUCUGGAGUCUGGGGCGGGGCUUAGCGCGAUUGGGGCGGGGGUCUGAAGAGAUUAGAGCGGUUGGGACAAUCCUGGAUUGAAAAGUUUAGCCUACACUGGUUUAGAACUCACAUGCUUCUAGCCUCUACCACCACUUGCUGAGAUUCAAGACUUCUUGAACAGCCACUACCAUAAAUGCUCUGGUCCAUCUCGUACGUGUUCCCGUGUUGCAGGCGGCUGUUGGAUGAGAAAACGGAGGCACUGCUGGUCCCAGGUCACAGUACAGCAAGGGAGGAACCAACUUGAAUCCCAUCCAGUGGCCCUUCCCAGACCUGAUCCAGCAGGCACUGAGGUCUCACACAAGAAGGAAGCUGCUUUUGGUGGUGAUAUGAGAAGCAGGAACCAGAUGUGAAUAGAUGCAGGCUCCAGGCAGCAGAGCGUCAACCAGAGUGCACCCCUCCCUUGGCUCCAUGAUGCAUCAUCAUCUGUGACCCUAGAAUAUCAUGAUGCCUACAUGUCUCAUUUAUAAAAUCACCCUCAUGACAGUGGGGGGGAAGGAAAGCAAGGCUGGAUACAUGACAGUGACUAUGUAGCAUGUAUGCCUCCCUGAGCCCAGCUUGCCAGGCGGGUGUGAGCAGUACUGGGCUCUGAUGAUCAAGCCCACAGGCCCGGGUCUGGGAGGCAACACAGGAACUAAAUUCCUACUCCCAUCUCUUGGGCUCUAAAUAAAGUCAUUGCCAUAUUGCAGCUGUGGGGCAUCCUAAAUGGACUGGAGCUCCAUCCCUAGUCUAAUUUCAAGGUCUUGAGAGUGGGCAUAAAGAGCAAGACUGGAGUAAGGAGGAGACAAGGCUAGAACUGAUAGGUUAAAGGAGACUCCGAAUGCCAGCUUGCCUAUAAACAUAAUUCCCAAUGGCAGGAGGUGUGGCUUAGUGGUAGAGCUCUGCCUAGCGUGUCCAAGCUCCAGCACCACCCAGGUGACAGAUAUACAAACAAAUCAACUACCACUAUAAAAAGCAAGACCUUACCCAUGUUACUUUUUUCUCCUGUGUAUUGGUGGUAAUAAACACAUUGUUGUUCUGUGCUCGCACAGUA